GCGGACGAUGAGAUGGUCAUCAAGGAAACAAUGUGUGUGAUGCUCCUGACGAUUCAGUCCGGUCCUGCACUUGAGAAGGUCGACUUUACUCACCCGGAGGACAGCAUCUGAGAAAACAUAAAAGCAGGGAACAGACUUGCGUGCUUGUACAGUCAUCCACAUAAUUCUUGACGACGACUUCCUUUGUGUCAUAAUCAUGGCAUUGAGCAACAAAACCAGAAACUGAACUGGAAACUGCUGCAGAAAGUGAACAAAUAUAAAAUGCUGCUUCAGGCCCUGUGAAUAAAACAGCAUCCCCAUGCAGUGAUGUUGGAAGAUGUGUCUUUCUGACAAGAGCAAGUGGAAGUAAAGAAUCUGAUUUCAUAACUUUAAAUCAGUAUGCACCUUUGGAUUUAUCAACUAUGUUAUAAAAGGCAUUUUCAAAUAGGUCAUGAUUUUUUUUCUGAGACGAUAUAAUUGUUCAUUAUCCCCAACCUGAACCUUAUCCUCCAC